ensembl:lncRNA
AUGAGGAAUAUUUGGGAAUUCUGUGCAGGUGCCGAAGCUGCAGCGGCGCCACCUGGAGGAGUGCGGCCACUGGACACAGCUCGAGAGGCCGGCGGAGCUGAACCGGAUCCUGCUGGAAUGGCUGCGGGAGCUGCCCCCGGAGCCGCUGCCGGGAAAUUCCAAACUCUGAGCACAAUUCCCGAAUUUCCGGGAAUUUUCCCAGGAAUUCCGACUUUUCCGGGAGAAUUUGUUCCAGGAAUUUCAGUUCUUGUGUGGGAAUUUUUUCCAAGAAUUUUUCCCAGGAAUUUCAAAUUUUUAGGGGGAAUUUUCCCUGGAAUUCCAAGUUUUCUGGGAGAAUUUGUUCCAGGAAUUUCAACUUUUUUUGUGGGAAUUUUUUCCAGGAAUUUCAAUUUUAUUUUGUGGGAAUUUUUUCCAAUAAUUUUCAAAGGAAUUUCAAUAUUUUUUGGGGGAAUUUUUCCAGGGAAUUCCAAAAUUAUCCAGGAAUUUUCCUGGGAAUUCCAACUUUGCUGGGAGAAUUUUCCCAGGAAUUUCCAUUUUUUGUGGGAAUUUUUUCCAAGAAUUUCAAUUUUUUUGUGGGAAUUUUUUCCAGGAAUUUCAAUUCUUGUGUGGGAAUUUUUUUCCCAAGAAUUUUUCCAAGGAAUUUCAAAAUUUUAAUGGGAAUUUUUCCCGGGAAUUCCGACCUUUCCAGGAGAAUUUGUUCCAGGAAUUUCGAUUUUUUGGGGGGAAUUUUUUCCAAGAAUUUUCCCAAGGAAUUUCAAAUUUUUGGGGGGAAUUUUCCCCUGGAAUUCCAACUUUUUAAUGGGAAUUUUUCCCGGGAAUUUCAACUUUUCCAGGAGAAUUUUUCCAGGAAUUUCAAUUCUUGUGUGGGAAUGUUUUUCUAAGAAUUUUCCCAAGGAAUUCCAAUUCUUUUGUGGGAAUUUUUUCCAAGAAUUUUUCCCAGGAUUUUAGAAUUUUUUAUGGGAAUUUUUCCUGGGAAUUCCAUGUUUUUUGUGGGAAUUUUUCCAGGAAUUUCAUUUAUUUUGUGGGAUCUUUUUUCCAGGAAUUUCAAUUCUUUUGUGGGAAUUUUUUCCAAGGAUUUUUCCCAGGAAUUUCAAAUUUUUAAUGGGAAUUCUUCCCGGGAAUUCCAAGUUUUCUGUGGGAAUUUUUCCAGGGAAUUUCAAAUUUUUGAUGGGAAUUUUUUCCAGGGAAUUCCAAUUUUUUGCAGGAAUUUUUCCUGAGAAUUCUGAGCUUUUCUUUGGAAUUUUUUUCCCCAGGAAUUCCAAACUCUGAGUGGAAUUCCAGAAUUUUCCAGGAAUUUUCCCCGGGAAUUCCAACUUUUCCAGGAGAAUUUUUCCAGGAAUUUCAAAUCUUUUUUUGUGGGAAUUUUUUCCAGAAAUUUCGAUUUUUUUUUUUGUGGGAAUUUUUUCCAAGAAAUUUUCCAAGGAAUUUCAAAUUUUUUGGUGAAUUUUUCCCUGGAAUUUUCCAGGGAAGUUUUCUGUGGGAAUUUUUCCCAGUAAUUUCAACUUUUUUCUGGGACUUUUUCCUGGAAAUUCCAAUUUUUUUCUGGGAAUGUUUCCUGAGAAUUCCAAUUUUUUCUGGGAAUUUUUCCUAGGAUUUUUCCCAGGAAUUUUAGUGGGGUUUUUUUGCAGGAAUUUUUCCCUGGAAUUCCAACCUCUGAGUGGGAAUUUUUCCAAGAAUUUUUCCCAGGAAUUUUGAUUUAUUUUUGCAGAAUUUUCCAGAGAAUUCCAAAUUCUGCGAUGGAAUUUACAGAAUUUUCUGGGAAUUUUCCCCAGGAAUUCCAAGUUUUCUGCAGGAAUUUUUCCCUGGAAUUUUUUCCCUGGAAUUCCAAGCUCUGAGUGGGAAUUUUUUCUGGGAAUUUUAAUUUUUAUUUACAGGAAUUUUCCCGAGGAAUUCCCUUUUUUUUUUCAGGAUUUUUUCCAGGGAUUUUUUUCCUGGAAUUCCAAUUUUUUUCAGGAAUUUUUCCCGGGAAUUUUUCCCGGGAAUUCCGAUUUUUUGGUGGGAAUUUUUCCCGGCAAUUCCCGCUCCUGAUCCCGGCGAAUCCGGGAAGUUUCGGUGGAUUAAUCAAUAACCAAUAACCGCUCCUGAACUCACUCAUCAAUAAUCAAUAAUCAAUCAUCAAUAAUCAAUCAUUGAUGGUUUUCCUCAAUCAGCUGCCGCUGUCAAAGAUGGAAAAAUAAAAUUUGGGAUUUUCCAGCGAUUUCCGUCUCCUUCGAAUCCUUCGGAGCCUGAGGCCAAAAAAUUCCCAAAAAUCCCCAAAAAUUCCCAAAACAUCCCCCAAAAAUUCCCCCAAAAAUUCCCCAAAAAUUCUCAAAAAAAAUCCCCAAAAAUUCCUGGAAAAAUUCCCACAGAAUUCCCCAAAUAAUUCCUGAAAAAUAAAAAAAAAUCCCAAAAAAUUCACAACAAAUCCAC